rnacentral:rRNA from 1 species
UACGUAGGUGGCAAGCGUUGUCCGGAUUUACUGGGCGUAAAGAGCGCGCAGGCGGUCGUUCAAGUCGCGUGUGAAAGCCCCCGGCUCAACUGGGGAGGGUCACGCGAUACUGAUCGACUCGAAGGCAGGAGAGGGUAGUGGAAUUCCCGGUGUAGUGGUGAAAUGCGUAGAUAUCGGGAGGAACACCUGUGGCGAAGGCGGCCCCCUGGUUGGAUACUGACGCUGAUACGCGAAAGCGUGGAGAGCAAACAGG